rnacentral:rRNA from 1 species
UACGGAGGGUGCGAGCGUUGUCCGGAAUCAUUGGGCGUAAAGGGCGCGUAGGUGGCCCGGUCAGCGUGCGGUGAAAGCUCGGGGCUCAACCCCGAGUCGGCCGUGCGAACUGCUGGGCUGGAGCACUGUAGAGGCAGGCGGAAUUCCGGGGUGUAGCGGUGGAAUGCGUAGAGAUCCGGAAGAACACCGGUGGCGAAGGCGGCCUGCUGGGCAGUAGC